rnacentral:rRNA from 1 species
GGUGGUAAUACCGGAUGCUCCGCUCCAUCGCAUGGUGGGGUGGGAAAUGCUUUUGCGGCAUGGGAUGGGGUCGCGUCCUAUCAGCUUGUUGGCGGGGUGAUGGCCCACCAAGGCGUUGACGGGUAGCCGGCCUGAGAGGGUGACCGGCCACAUUGGGACUGAGAUACGGCCCAGACUCCUACGGGAGGCAGCAGUGGGGAAUAUUGCACAAUGGGCGCAAGCCUGAUGCAGCGACGCCGCGUGCGGGAUGGAGGCCUUCGGGUUGUAAACCGCUUUUGUUCAAGGGCAAGGCACGGUUUCGGCCGUGUUGAGUGGAUUGUUCGAAUAAGCACCGGCUAACUACGUGCCAGCAGCCGCGGUAAUACGUAGGGUGCGAGCGUUAUCCGGAUUUAUUGGGCGUAAAGGGCUCGUAGGCGGUUCGUCGCGUCCGGUGUGAAAGUCCAUCGCCUAACGGUGGAUCUGCGCCGGGUACGGGCGGGCUGGAGUGCGGUAGGGGAGACUGGAAUUCCCGGUGUAACGGUGGAAUGUGUAGAUAUCGGAAA